UACGUAGGGUGCGAGCGUUGUCCGGAAUUACUGGGCGUAAAGAGCUCGUAGGUGGUUUGUCGCGUUGUUCGUGAAAACUCACAGCUCAACUGUGGGCGUGCGGGCGAUACGGGCAGACUGGAGUACUGCAGGGGAGACUGGAAUUCCUGGUGUAGCGGUGGAAUGCGCAGAUAUCAGGAGGAACACCUAUAGCGAAGGCAGCUUGCUGGGACGUUACUGACGCUAAGGCGCGAAAGCGUGGGAGCGAACAGG
rnacentral:rRNA from 1 species